CGUACACUCCUGCGGGAGGCAGCAGUGGGGAAUAUUGGACAAUGGGCGCAAGCCUGAUCCAGCCAUGCCGCGUGAGUGAUGAAGGCCCUAGGGUUGUAAAGCUCUUUCACCGGUGAAGAUAAUGACGGUAACCGGAGAAGAAGCCCCGGCUAACUUCGUGCCAGCAGCCGCGGUAAUACGAAGGGGGCUAGCGUUGUUCGGAUUUACUGGGCGUAAAGCGCACGUAGGCGGACUAUUAAGUCAGGGGUGAAAUCCCGGGGCUCAACCCCGGAACUGCCUUUGAUACUGGUAGUCUUGAGUUCGAGAGAGGUGAGUGGAAUUCCGAGUGUAGAGGUGAAAUUCGUAGAUAUUCGGAGGAACACCAGUGGCGAAGGCGGCUCACUGGCUCGAUACUGACGCUGAGGUGCGAAAGCGUGGGGAGCAAACAGGAUUAGAUACCCGUGUAGUCCCAUG
rnacentral:rRNA from 1 species